CAGUAGCCGCGGGAAUACGGAGGGAGCUAGCGUUGUUCGGAAUUACUGGGCGUAAAGCGCACGUAGGCGGCUUUGUAAGUUAGAGGUGAAAGCCUGGAGCUCAACUCCAGAAUUGUCUUUAAGACUGCAUCGCUUGAAUCCAGGAGAGGUGAGUGGAAUUCCGAGUGUAGAGGUGAAAUUCGUAGAUAUUCGGAAGAACACCAGUGGCGAAGGCGGCUCACUGGACUGGUAUUGACGCUGAGGUGCGAAAGCGUGGGGAGCAAACAGGAUUAGAUACCCCCGUAGUCCCUGUCUCUUAUAC
rnacentral:rRNA from 1 species